ACUUAAAUUGAAGAGUUUGAUCAUGGCUCAGAUUGAACGCUGGCGGCAGGCCUAACACAUGCAAGUCGAGCGGUAGCACAGAGAGCUUGCUCUCGGGUGACGAGCGGCGGACGGGUGAGUAAUGUCUGGGAAACUGCCUGAUGGAGGGGGGUAACUACUGGAAACGGUAGCUAAUACCGCAUAACGUCGCAAGACCAAAGUGGGGGACCUUCGGGCCUCAUGCCAUCAGAUGUGCCCAGAUGGGAUUAGCUAGUAG
rnacentral:rRNA from 1 species